UAGCCCUGAAAAUGGAGGUCAAAGGAGGCGUCCGCCGAUACCUUGUCCAUUUGGUGUAGGAGGGCGUGGUCCAUACUUGGAAGUCUCUGUGUGAACAGAGGCGGAGUGUGGACUAGUGUAGAUCUUGGUGGUAGUAGCAAGUAUUCCAAUGAGAACUUGGAAGACUGAAGAGGAGAAGGUUUUCAUGAGACUGCAGUAGGUCAUGAGUGACCCGACCCUAACUCCAGGGAAAGGGGAUGUGGUUAACAUUCCACAGGUAGGCGUUGCAGAGUGGCGACACUAGCAACUGCAAGACGGCGGGGACGUCCCGGGGAGAGUUCUCUUUUCUGCUUAACACCAUGACUGUCUGGAAGGCCUUUACGGCGAGAGAGACGCUAGUGGUGGAAGAGCAGCACACUCUUAGUGCUGUCCGGAGUGCUGUUCACGCCCCUUGAAAAUUGCAGUUGUGCUGCAGGCCUAGUCGUACCGAAUCCGCAACAGGUCUCCAAGGUUAGCAGCCUCUAGUGGUAGAGUAAUGUAGGUAAGGGAAGUCGGCAAACUGGAUCUGUAACUUCGGGAGAAAGAUUGGCUCUGAGGGCCAGGCACACCCACCGCUCGCAGGCUAGCCGGCUGAGCUCUUGGUACGCUGGGAGAGCGGCUGGCGUGCCUAACAGUGGCUCGGGGGUGCGGACAAUGGCUGACUCAGAACUGGUACGGCAGGGGGAAUCCGACUGUUUAAUCGAAACAAAGCAUUGUGAGGGGUAUUCUGUUGACACAAUGUGAUUUCUGCCCAGUGCUCUGAAUGUCAAGGUGAUGAGAUUCGCCUAAGCGCGGGUAAACGGCGGGAGUAACUAUGACUCUCUUAAGGUAGCCAAAUGCCUCGUCAUCUAAUUAGUGACGUGCAUGAAUGGAUUAACGAGAUUCCUGCUGUCCCUAUCUACUGUCUAGCGAACCCACAGCCAAGGGAACGGGCUUGGCACUGUCAGCGGGGAAAGAAGACCCUGUUGAGCUUGACUCUAGUCUGGCACGUGGAGCUGUGUAGGAGGCGUAGUAUAAGUGGGAGGCCGCGAACCUGAAAUACCACUACUCUUAAGGCCGCUCCACUCAUCCUGUCGGGUAACACUGUUCUUGAGCGUUGUUAGGUGGGAGAGUGGCCAGGUGGGGAGUUUGGCUGGGGCGGCACAUCUGUCACAGGAGAACACAGGUGUCCUAAGGCGAGCUCAGAGAGGACAGAAACCUCUCGUCGACCAGAAGGGGACAUGCUCGCUUGAUUGCAACCCUCAGUCCCGGGGGCAACCGUGAAAGCGUGGCCUAGCGAUCCUUUGCCUUUUAGGAGUUUUAAGCCAGAGGUGUCAGAAAAGUUACCACAGGGAUAACUGGCUUGUGGCAGCCAAGCGUUCAUAGCGACGUUGCUUUUUGAUUCUUCGAUGUCGGCUCUUCCUAUCAUUGUGAAGCAGAAUUCACCAAGUGUCGGAUUGUUCACCCGCUAAUAGGGAACGUGAGCUGGGUUUAGACCGUCGUGAGACAGGUUAGUUUUACCCUACUGACCUUGUGUCGCCACAGUAGUCCAACUCAGUACGAGAGGAACCGUUGGUCCAGACCUCUGGUCGCCGACUAGUCGCCCUACCGUCGACCUGCUACGUCUGUUCGAUUACCGCUGAACGCCUCUAAGUGGGAAUCCUGCCUGAGAGCGACACUUCAAGUUGCUACCGUCUAUUUACUCA
rnacentral:rRNA from 1 species